GACAGAGGGGGCAAGCGUUGCUCGGAAUUACUGGGCGUAAAGGGCGCGUAGGCGGAAUGGCAAGUCGGUCGUGAAAUCCUUCGGCUCAACCGAAGAACGUCGAUCGAAACUGCCGUUCUUGAGGAUUGCAGAGGAGACUGGAAUUCCCGGUGUAGCGGUGAAAUGUGUAGAGAUCGGGAGGAACACCGGUGGCGAAGGCAGGUCUCUGGGCUGACACUGACGCUCAUGAACGAAAGCGUGGGGAGCAAACAGG
rnacentral:rRNA from 1 species